GGGGCUGUGGCGCAGCUGGGAGCGCGUCUCAAUGGCAUUGAGAAGGUCAGGGGUUCGAAUCCCCUCAGCUCCA
rnacentral:tRNA from 2 species